ensembl:snoRNA LOC120100439 small nucleolar RNA SNORA17
CUUGCCCCUAAAGGCUUUGCAGGUAUGAUGCUGUGCUACAAGUGCACCAGUAGGUGGUAGAGAGGAAAGAUGCUAUGUCUACCUUCAGUGUUCUGUCCUGUAAACAUCUAAAUUAUUAGUAGUCUAACACU